rnacentral:misc_RNA from 1 species
AAUGGAUUAGUGGGGUCUGCUUUGCCGAUCCUUGACGUGAUAAUACUUUUCUACGUCUCGGGUUUCUGCACUGUACCUCUGCUUCUAACCGUCUCAUUGACAACGAUGGUGUUCCGGUCACCGCCGAUUCAUCGGUGGGAGGCUCGACCCACAAAAACGACCUUGACCUCAAAUCGGGUGGGACUACCCGCUGAACUUAA